UACGAAGGUGGCAAGCGUUGUUCGGAUUCACUGGGCGUACAGGGAGCGUAGGCGGUUGGGUAAGCCCUCCGUGAAAUCUCCGGGCCCAACCCGGAAAGUGCAGAGGGGACUGCUCAGCUAGAGGACCGGAGAGGAGCGCGGAAUUCCCGGUGUAGCGGUGAAAUGCGUAGAGAUCGGGAGGAAGGCCGGUGGCGAAGGCGGCGCUCUGGAACGUUUCUGGCGCUGAGGCUCGAAAGCGUGGGGAGCAAACAGG
rnacentral:rRNA from 1 species